AAAACACACUUUAACACCCCCCUUCCCCAACUCUUCCCGCUCUCCAACCUACCCUUUCCUCUUCCCCUUCUCUCACUCACAAGCAAGCUUUUCUCAACCCUCUUUGUCGUCGACCUCCGUUUUAGUACCGCGCCGAUCGUUCCUCCCUAAUCUACCCUUUUCCCUUCCUCUUCUCUCACGCUCCCAAUCUGUUUCUCCGCACUACCACGAGAUCCAAGUGCUUUCCGACCUCGCCGUCCAGAUUUCACACUUUCUCACUAUUUUCAAGCGCUCUAUCAACCACCCCAACCCUCCGUCGCCACCGUCAUCGCUAUCGAGCCCGCCGCACUCGCCGGCGACUCCAAAGCCCACCAACAACUCCACAACGAGGCAGGUGCUCCAGGCCACAAACAGAAUGUCACUCACGGUCAGCUCCAGGCGCUCUCCAUUGUCUCGACUGGCAGCCCCUCCUUACUUGUCGACGUCUGCUCUCUGUUCUCUUCUUUGUCUCCCUCUGCAUUUUUCUUCUCUUCUCUGCAGUAAAGGUGAGUUUUUUUUAGUUAUUUAAUCAUUAUUGUUUAAUAUUUUGGAUGAUUAUUACUGUUCGUGAUUGUGUUUUAAUGUAGUUGUCAAGGUUGAUUUUUUGUUGUUUUUGAUUCUGUAAUUGUUGAUGUUUUUUUGUGAUUGUUGCUAUUUAGGUUGAUUGAUGCUUGUUAUUUAGGUUAAUUGAUCUUUGUUGAUUUUUUUGUGAUUUUUUGUAAUUGUUAGUUUUCUUAACUCUGUAAUUUUUGUUUUUUGUUGGUUCUGAUGAUGUUGUUCUUGUUGCUACUAUGAAAUUGAAGAAGAAGAACAGGAAAAAAGAGAAUUGGUGAAGAUAAGGAUUAUUUUUUUUUAUAUAAAUAUAAAACGACGUCGUAUUGGAGAUUAGGUUUUUUUUUUUAAUAAAUAACAAAACGACAUCGUUUUAGUCCAGCUCAGUUUUUCAGUAGCAAGGAUGGAUGGAAAUUAUUUUAAGGACUACUAUGAAUCUCGGAGUGUAAUUUCAGGGACGAAUUUGAGGAAUUAUUAACUUCAGAGAUUACUUUGAGACUCGAAUGCAACUUCAAGGACUACUUUAAGCCUUAUAUCACCAAGAGAAAGAUCCACAGAAAAAAAAAAAAGAUAAUCUCUAAGAAUUUACGUAACCACCGUUUUCUUAGAUUGUACAAAAUUCAAUAUCUUGGAGUCCGUUUGUGUAUUAAAAAUAUGAAUCUUAGCUUUGUUUUCAUAUACCCUACUCGACCAACAUACUCAGUAAUCAGUUCUAUUCUAGGAAGCUGCUCCUCCCUCCCUACAAAAGUACUUUAGGAAUAUACUAUAUAAAAAGACCAACAUUGUACAAAUCAAUUAAUCAAGUAAUUAACCAAAUCAUAUGAACGAUAUAAAUCAAGUAUUACUAAAUCAUCUGUAUAAAUUUAAAUAAUUUCUUUGAAAUCAAAUUUGAUAAAUAAAAAAUAGAUAACAACCAUGGGAGCUGAGAAGCAGAAAUGUAAAAAUUGUAUGCAUCUCAUGGUGUCACAGCACAAGCAGCACGUAGUGACGAAAAAAAAAACGUGAAUGAAGAUCCAAAA